rnacentral:lncRNA from 1 species
UCAUUCCAACUAGAAGAAUGCUCGUGCUUGCUCUCUGUUGCCAUAGAAACAGUGCAGCUCCAGUCUCCCUGUUGCUUUGGUAACCCACCCCCCUUUCCUCACAUCACUACUGCUGGGGUAUUUUGCUGCCAAGAUAAUGGUCUCUAUUAUGGAUUGAAUGUUAAUGGGCAGUCCUUUACCCCAGACUACACCCAGCCCCUUCUGCAGCUCCACAUUUGAAGGCCUUGUCUAAGUGGCAUCUCAAUGAGAUGGUAAUAGAUACUUGAAUCAGAUGGAGAGGAGCUGUAGUGAUGGGGGUGGGAGGGGAUAGAAGAAGCGUUCAGCUUCUAAUCUUGAAAAGGGAGGACUCGGAACUUGGAGAGGCAAAAAUGAGGAAAUCAUCCAUUAGAGUGCCUCAGCUGUGUAUGAAGUCCUAAAGCCAUUUCUUCCAGUCAAUAAAAGGGCAUGGAAGUCAUCCAACAGCUGCUGGAGGGACUGUGCAGAGUUACGACGGAGACAGUGACUCCUCCAAAGGGGUCUCGAGGGGAUGCAUUGUGCUGGAGUCUCAAUCAAGUGCCUGGAAGCUGAACGUGAAAAACAGUGCUGCCUGGAUUACAGAGAUACUGGCCAUAAAUGCAUUCGUGGGCUCUCAAGAAGCAUUAGGGAUGCCAUGAAGGAGGGGCAUUUUUACUUUGUGUCCUACCAAAUUCACUUAAUUAUACAUAGCAAUGAGGAAAGUGUGGGAAACAGCAAAUCUGACCUUAGUGUGCCUUUGACUAAUCCAAGCUUAUUGUUUGUGAGUUAAUAUUGUGAAAUGAUCCCCUGUGCAUAUAAUGCAGUCAUCUUCAAAUAAAAAUCUGUGGCUUCA